GAUUAUAUAUCUAAUUUAAGUGCUGUGUUCUUACCUCAGUGAUGUGUGUUACACUAUAAUCU
rnacentral:tRNA from 1 species